UACAGAGGUCCCAAGCGUUGUUCGGAUUCAUUGGGCGUAAAGGGUGCGUAGGCGGCGCUGUAAAUCGGGUGUGAAAUUUCGGAGCUUAACUCCGAAACUGCAUUCGAUACUGCGGUGCUUGAGGACUGGAGAGGAGACUGGAAUUCAUGGUGUAGCAGUGAAAUGCGUAGAGAUCAUGAGGAAGACCAGUGGCGAAGGCGGGUCUCUGGACAGUUCCUGACACUGAGGCACGAAGGCCAGGGGAGCAAACGGG
rnacentral:rRNA from 1 species